rnacentral:rRNA from 1 species
GACAGAGGGUGCAACCGUUGCUCGGAAUCACUGGGCGUAAAGGGCGUGUAGGCGGGACGGUAAGUCGGGCGUGAAAUCCCUAGGCUCAACCUAGGAACUGCACUCGAAACUACCAUUCUUGAGUGUCGGAGAGGAAAGCGGAAUUCCUGGUGUAGAGGUGAAAUUCGUAGAUAUCAGGAGGAACACCAGUGGCGAAGGCGGCUUUCUGGACGAUAACUGACGCUGAGACGCGAAAGCGUGGGGAGCAAACAGA